rnacentral:misc_RNA from 1 species
GCUUGAAUGUCAAAAUUGGAAAAUCAUUUGUUUAUUGUUUUAUUUUGUUUUAAUUUUUGUUUGUUUAGUUUUGUUUUAUUUUUUAAGUAACAUUGAUGAAGUUGUGCAUGUUCUGGUUAGUAUCUGCUUUUCCAGUGGUCUUUCCUACUGUCAAAAUCGAGAAAGUUGCAAAUUAACGAAUGGAUCGCCGUGAAGCCGAUGUAUAUGGAGGACAGCCGAAUCUAAAUUUAAGUCACGAGGUGCGCAUCUAUUUGCUGAGCGCAAUGUUCGCCCUCGCAGCCCUGAUCCAAUGGAUACUCAUUGGAUACUUUUCGGAUUGGCGCAAAUACAAAAUGCCCCAGGAGCGCUAUGGCUUCUGGCUGAUGGCCACAUUCUUCGGCAUCUGUUUGCUGUCCUGUACGCCGUGCGGUCGUCGCUGUCCCUGGAACGUGAUGCUCGUUAUAAUCAUUGUUGAAUCGUCUACGCUCUACAUUGCGGUCGAGCAGCAGAAUUCAAGGGGAUUUAUGGUCAAUAUAUAUGCUGUCACAAUUGUGUUCUUGGUGGUCAUCACAUCCAUCUUCUAUGGUGCGUACUUUCCAAUGCGUAUGGUGCCAGGUGAUCUGAUGCUCAGCCUGGGCGUCGCCAUUGCCAAUAUAAUGAUGAUAUUGUUCUUCCUCAAUGCGUUCAUCAUCAAGAACGAUACUAUAUUUACUAUAGUGCGAAACUAUUUUGCCUUCACAGCGAUCACAAUGAUCAUGUAUACGGCCACCAUAAUACACGAUCGGCAAUCCGAUGUGCCCAAACACGAAUAUAUCUAUCUCAGUGUUUUGCUCUUCUUCGGCCAAAUGAUACUCCACGAACGCAUCCUGGCCAUUUCCGCGAGUACGACACGCUCACAGGCAUGCGAGUCAACAAAAGCCAUUUAGGUCUAUUUCAAAACUCAAGUCUUGGCAAAAAUAUUGUAAGGCAGCUCUUCAGCCUGGCCCAUGGAUGGGUUGCGUUUGGACAGCAAGAAGAUUGUAUUUGUAGGACACGAUAACCAGCAGGGAAUUACGUGAAUCCAUUUGAAAUAGACGAAGAUAUGCAGAAAUGUGAAGCAUAUAUGAGG